rnacentral:rRNA from 1 species
UUGAACUGAAGAGUUUGAUCAUGGCUCAGAUUGAACGCUGGCGGCAGGCCUAACACAUGCAAGUCGAGCGGAAACGAUCCUAGCUUGCUAGGAGGCGUCGAGCGGCGGACGGGUGAGUAACGCGUGAGAAUCUACCCAUGAGUGGGGGACAACCCGGGGAAACUCGGGCUAAUACCGCAUACGCCCUACGGGGUAAAGCAGGGGACCUUCGGGCCUUGCGCUGAUGGAUGAGCUCGCGUCGGAUUAGCUUGUUGGUGAGGUAAAGGCUCACCAAGGCGACGAUCC